GAGAACCGGAGUUCAGUGUACCUGAGUGCUAUUAUGCCAAACAGACACCUCCUUUAAAGCAAACCUAUUUUGCAAGAUUCCGUCCAGAAACACUAUUCUACAUCUUUUACAGCAUGCCCAAAGAUGAGGCACAACUUUUGCAGCAAACGAACUUUACAACAGAGGUUGGUUUUACCACAAAGAUCUGAGGUUUUGGUUUACGAGGGUGAAGAAUAUGGAACCUCUUGUCAAGACAAACAGUUAUGAGAGGGGUUGCUACUUCUGUUUUGAACCCAAUGGAUGGCAAACAGUGAGAAAGGAUAACUUCGUCCUGCAAUAUGAAAUGGUUGAGAAAAGACCCGUGCUGCCGCAGCAAUAGCAUAAUUAUUCUCCCGCCUCCGUAGUUGUCUAAUCCUUCUUAGAAUUAAAUACGCCAAUUGCUAUAUGUUGUAACUUGAAUUACACAUCCCCUUUUCUGAUUAACCCGGAAACAGCAUUUGUCUUUCUGUUUUGAAAUUUUGUAAUUGUCUCUUUACCUGAGCCGGAGGUAGAGAAUGGUGUUGCCAUGUCACCUCUCCGAGCAGUCGAGCACGACAUGAUCUUAGUUAUGGUGCAUUGCAGGAUAGAGUAAAUUUCUGUAAUCAGAUGCUGAUAUUUUGUUUUAUUUGGCUGGAUGCUGUUGCCAAUAAUUGUCUUAUUAUAAUUUUGGGAAGAAAUGAUACUCUAUUAUUGCUA